GAUAAAAGAGGUUGUCUAUUUCGCAAUCACAACUGCAUUUCCAUUCUGACGAGAGAACAAGCCCUUGGCGUAGUAUCUUAAGCCUGGAUCUCUCUAUUGUGAAGUGAAAGGGAAACCCAGAACGUCUGAGAGGUUGCCUGGCUAGCGAUCCAAGUGUAUUCCCCUAUAGAGUCUGAGUGACCGAAUAGGACCCCGAGAGAACAGCUGAGACUCACCAGAGAGAAAGGGUGGAUUUGUGCUCCACCAAACCGGACGCUUUUUAAUGACCAGUACAGAACAAGAAGCACAGAAGGGUCUGCAUUCUCUACACGGCUAAUUCAACUGUGUGACUUUGUUAGAGGAGAAGGAGGAAGAGGAGGAGGAAGAAGAAGAAAAGGAAGAGGAGAAGGAACAGGAAGAGGAGGAGAAGGAGGAAAGGGUGAGGGAGAAGGAAGAGGAGGAGGAGGAGGAAGAGAACAGUGACUGGAAAGAUGGGUGGGACCACUUUGAAGAACUAUAAACUCUAAACAAAAGAGUCUAUAUUUAAUCCUAGAUUAAAUUUCACUUAACUCUAUUUGCCUCCGUUUUCUCAUUAUAAAAGGAGCUGGAGAAGGAAACACCAAACCACUCUAGUAUCUUUGCCAAGAAAACCCCAAAUAGGGUCAGGAAAAGUCAGAAACUGCUGAAGUAAUUGAAUAACAAUAAAGUUUACAGGAGAGGGAAAAGACA
rnacentral:lncRNA from 1 species